UAUAAAUUGAUGAUUAAGAGGAGUAAUAUAUUUUAGUUUAAAGAGAGUUAGUGGUAGGUGUAAACUAAUAAUGAAGGUAUAUGAAGGUAGCUUAUGAGUGUUUAUUUGAAAUAAAAGUAGAAUAAAACGUGUUGUGCGCGUUAAGCAUAUAAGAUAAAAUUAAGGUGGUACCGCGAGUUAUAAUCGCCCUUUGG
rnacentral:ncRNA from 1 species